rnacentral:pre_miRNA from 1 species
AGUGGGAUUGCUGGAUUAUAUGGUAGUUCUAGUUUUAGUUUUUUGAGAAAACUCCAUAUUGUUUUCCAUAGUGACUGUACCAAUUUACAUUCCCACCAACAGU